CCUACGGGAGGCAGCAGUGGGGAAUUUUGGACAAUGGGCGAAAGCCUGAUCCAGCCAUGCCGCGUGUCUGAAGAAGGCCUUCGGGUUGUAAAGGACUUUUGUCAGGGAGGAAAUCCCUAGCGUUAAUACCGCUGGGGGAUGACAGUACCUGAAGAAUAAGCACCGGCUAACUACGUGCCAGCAGCCGCGGUAAUACGUAGGGUGCGAGCGUUAAUCGGAAUUACUGGGCGUAAAGCGUGCGCAGGCGGUUUGAUAAGCCAGAUGUGAAAUCCCCGAGCUCAACUUGGGAACUGCGUUUGGAACUGUCAGACUAGAGUGCGUCAGAGGGGGGUGGAAUUCCGCGUGUAGCAGUGAAAUGCGUAGAGAUGCGGAGGAACACCGAUGGCGAAGGCAGCCCCCUGGGAUGACACUGACGCUCAUGCACGAAAGCGUGGGGAGCAAACAGGAUUAGAUACCCCUGUAGUC
rnacentral:rRNA from 1 species